rnacentral:rRNA from 1 species
AGACCCGAAACCCGGUGAUCUAGCCAUGGGCAGGUUGAAGGUUGGGUAACACUAACUGGAGGACCGAACCGACUAAUGUUGAAAAAUUAGCGGAUGACCUGUGGCUGGGGGUGAAAGGCCAAUCAAACCGGGAGAUAGCUGGUUCUCCCCGAAAGCUAUUUAGGUAGCGCCUCGUGAAUUCAUCUCCGGGGGUAGAGCACUGUUUCGGCUAGGGGGCCAUCCCGGCUUACCAACCCGAUGCAAACUGCGAAUACCGGAGAAUGUUAUCACGGGAGACACACGGCGGGUGCUAACGUCCGUCGUGAAGAGGGAAACAACCCAGACCGCCAGCUAAGGUCCCAAAGUCAUGGUUAAGUGGGAAACGAUGUGGGAAGGCCCAGACAGCCAGGAUGUUGGCUUAGAAGCAGCCAUCAUUUAAAGAAAGCGUAAUAGCUCACUGGUCGAGUCGGCCUGCGCGGAAGAUGUAACGGGGCUAAACCAUGCACCGAAGCUGCGGCAGCGACACUGUGUGUUGUUGGGUAGGGGAGCGUUCUGUAAGCCUGCGAAGGUGUCCCGUGAGGGAUGCUGGAGGUAUCAGAAGUGCGAAUGCUGACAUAAGUAACGAUAAAGCGGGUGAAAAGCCCGCUCGCCGGAAGACCAAGGGUUCCUGUCCAACGUUAAUCGGGGCAGGGUGAGUCGACCCCUAAGGCGAG